AGCAGCCGCGGUAAUUCCAGCUCCAAUAGCGUAUAUUAAAGUUGUUGCAGUUAAAAAGCUCGUAGUUGAAUUUCGGGAUCAAUGUUUCGGUCAUGCCGUUGGUAUGUACUGAUAUUAUUGGUUUCUCACCUUCUAAAGAACCGUAAUGCCAUUAAUUUGGUGUCACGGGGAAUUAGGACUGUUACCUUGAAAAAUUAGAGUGUUUAAAGCAGGCUCACGCUUGAAUACAUUAGCAUGGAAUAAUGAAAUAGGACAUCCGAUUCUAUUUUGUUGGUUUCCAGGAUCGAUGUAAUGAUUAAUAGGGAUAGUUGGGGGCAUUAGUAUUCAAUUGUCAGAGGUGAAAUUCUUGGAUUUAUUGAAGACUAACUACUGCGAAAAGCAUUUGCCAAGGAUGUUUUCUAUUAAUCAAGAACGAAAGUUAGGGGAUCGAAGACGAUCAGAUACCGUCGUAGUCUUAACCAUAAACUAUGCCGACUAGGGAUCGGAUGAUGUUAAUUUUUUAAUGUACUCAUUCGGC
rnacentral:rRNA from 1 species